rnacentral:tRNA from 1 species
GGUCCCAUCGUCUAUCGGUUAGGACACGUGGUUUUCAUCCUCGAAAGAGGGGUUCGAUUCCCCUUGGGACCGCCA